ACUUUCAACAACGGAUCUCUUGGUUCUGGCAUCGAUGAAGAACGCAGCGAAAUGCGAUAAGUAAUGUGAAUUGCAGAAUUCAGUGAAUCAUCGAAUCUUUGAACGCACAUUGCGCCCUCUGGUAUUCCGGAGGGCAUGCCUGUUCGAGCGUCAG
rnacentral:rRNA from 1 species